rnacentral:miRNA from 1 species
CUGCCGGCAGUCACAGCUCUCGGCAGUCACAGCUCUCGGUUCCAGCUGCAGCUGACCUGGGCCUGGCAG